GUGCUCGCUUUGGCAGUACAUACACUAAAAUUGGAAUGAAACAGAGAAGAUUAGCAUGGCCCCUGUGCAAGGAUGACAUGAAAAUAAAAAAUGGCAAUUUUU
rnacentral:snRNA from 1 species